rnacentral:misc_RNA from 1 species
UCAAACUUGGUCAUUUAGAGGAAGUAAAAGUCGUAACAAGGUCUCCGUAGGUGAACCUGCGGAGGGAUCAUUACCGAGUGAGGGCCCCCGGGCCCGACCUCCAACCCUUUGAUUUAUCACCCUUUGUUGCCUCGGGGGUUAGCCGCGAGGCGCCCCCGGUGGACCAUUGAUUAAAGCUCUGCAUCUUUGCGUCGGGUUAAUCAAGUUUAAAUGAAUUAAAACUUUCAACAACGGAUCUCUUGGUUCUGGCAUCGAUGAAGAACGCAGC